rnacentral:rRNA from 1 species
UACAGAGGGUGCAAGCGUUAAUCGGAAUUACUGGGCGUAAAGCGUGCGCAGGCGGUCGUUCAAGUCGAGUGUGAAAGCCCCCGGCUCAACUGGGGAGGGUCACUCGAUACUGAUCGACUCGAAGGCAGGAGAGGGUAGUGGAAUUCCCGGUGUAGUGGUGAAAUGCGUAGAUAUCGGGAGGAACACCAGUGGCGAAGGCGACUACCUGGCCUGUUCUUGACGCUGAGGCGCGAAAGCUAGGGGAGCAAACGGG